GUCUAUGACCAUACCACCCUGAAUGCACCCAAUUCAUCUGAUCUUGGAAGCUAAGCAGUAUUGGGCUGGUAAGUACUUGGAUAGGAGAAUAGGCCAAAAAUAUAAAGAAAAGUAGAUU
ensembl:rRNA 5S_rRNA 5S ribosomal RNA